CCCUGGAAAACAGAAUACAAACUUCCUGAAAGAAUGCUCGCAAAUUAUAGGCUUCCCUUCUGGUGCACACUCUCAUGCCACAGGAACAUUUUAGAUCCCACCUGAGUUAUGCUGACUUUCCUGCCCAACUUUUGAGAAAAAUCAGAGUAAAUUGCAGGGGAAAGAUUUCUUUUUAUCCUCCUACAGAGGCGGGGAGGGGAAAAAAAUCCUUCAGCUUUUUAACAGAGAAGAGAGAGAGAGGAGAGAGGGAGGGAGAGAGAGAGAGAGAGACCAUAGCAAACACAAAACAUGGUAAACUGUUCAUUUCACCCUUGAAAAAUCAAAUGGAAACAAGUGUGAGGAAAAACUUAAAUACUUCUUUACUUCAUUUGAGAUAUUGUGUGGGAUUCUGAGGCAGUAAAAUGCUGUCGGGUGACUACCCUGUUUUGAAAAGUGCAUUAUCAGGUUAGUAACAAAUGCUUCCUUCUUGCCAGACAUAGUGAAGGUGUUACUCCAGGGUAAUGAGAAAAUAGGAGCAGAAAGAACAUGCUGCUGGGACAUCCAAGCCAAGGACAAAGAAGCCAUUCUUUGUUGACCAAACUGGGAGGCGUCUCUGCCUCCCCAACCCUUCUGUGCCCCAUUUUACAGAUUCUCUAUUUCUUAAGCCUUCCUCAAACACUCGUUAAGACUGGCAUAUGAUGUGGAUCCCAUUCUGGGUUAGGACACUGGAGUCCAUGGUAAUGAUCUUUCAGAGUAACAUGACUGGGAAGGGUUAGAGUUAUGGGUAACACCGAGUCUCCCAGCUUCGAGCCUUCCCUGGAAUUGAGAGGGGAAAUUGGACUGACAGAAGGUAACAGGCCCCCAUCCCAAAUUAAUGCUGAGUUAUUUGUGUUCUUGUUUUUGUUUCUGUUCCUCUAUAACGUAGGCUACUCUUCAAGGCAAUCCUCCGGCUUCAGUCUUCCAAGUGCUGGAGUUACAGGUGUGAGCCACCAUAACUAGUCCCAUGCACCUCCAAUCUCUUUAUUGUUUUUGAGACAGAGUCUCAUGUUGAUCCACCCUGGAACUUGCUAUGUAGACCAGGCUGGCUUUGAAGUCAUAGAACUCUGCCUGCCUCUGCCUCCUGAGAGCUGGGAUUAAAGGCUGUGCCAUCUUCCUAUGGUUUUCCAAUAGGUUUUUAAAAUAUAUGUUAUUUUUGAAGGGCUGGAGAUGAAACUUAGACCUUUCUCGGCCAUGGCUCUGUCACUGAGCCACACCUCAGGCCACGGCUAAUCACUUCUUGCUCCUUCAUUGUACGUUGUCAAGGAUGCGGCCCUGAGAGAAAGAACAGGUAGGUAGGUGCUUCUUGGAGAUCUGGAGGAGGCUGAGCCACCCUAGCCCUUGAUGGUUCAUUUAUAUAGAGCACAGCUCACUUACCAUCACAUAGUUAAAGGACAGCUUGUCGAUGGUCACUACUGUACUUACAUAGGACUUGAGGUGGGUGUUCUGGGAGCUACCACAAGUGCUAUGGAAUAGGCAUAGAUAGCACACUCACGGGAAGAAAUCAACAAAAUGCCAUGGCAGAGAAUCCUUGAUGAUGUGCUCAGAUUUUAUCUCUAGAUAAGGUAGAUUUAAAAGCAUAUAUAACCAGAGUUUUUCCUAGGAACACCUGAUCCUUUUCGAAUGAUGAAUCCAACCCCUAGGCACACCUGUGUGACCUAAAGUCCUGUAUUUGGGUCACUUCCUGUGGUCCCCUCUCUUUUCAUAUCCUUCAAUUGGCCCAUUCCAUAUAGCCUAGAGCUAAUUUGGGCCAUCUAGGAUCAUGAUGAAUUUUAAGAAUCUGGGUGGGGAGGUUCCCCAAGUUAGCAUUCCGUGGAGAUCAGGGGGUGAAUCCCAUGCUGUUUUACAAGGCAAUCUUCUAGUUUUCCCUCUGGAAUGAGUGAGGAGUUGCAAAGGCCUCUUGGUUACCGGCCUACAUCCAUGGAUUAUGGCCCCUGUAAAACAGGGCAUCUGUCCUUCCAAGGUUUAAGCAAUCGGCUAUGGAGAGAAAGUCAGUGUAGAUGCACCAUGAGGUUUUAAAAAACAAACCAACAACAAAAACCCACAAAGAACAAACACCACCCCUUCCCCCAAAAAACCACCACCCACAAAGUUGAUAAGCCCUGGGUGAUCUGUCUGGGUUCAGGCUUUGUCUCCUGAAGCUGUGUGGACUUCCACAAGCAAAUCAGAGAUGAGAACUACUCCCAGCUGCUUUUUAAGACCUGGACAGAACAUUUCUUUGUGUGUGUGUGUGUGGGGGGGGGCAGAUAGAGCUUGAUUUUCUUAAAUGUGGAAAACAAGAUUUAUCGUUGCUGUUCUGUUUCCUUCCCCCCCCCCCAAGAUUUAUUUAUUUAUUAUAUACACUAUAGCUGUCUUUAGACACACCAGACGAGGGCAUUGGAUCACAUUACGGAUGGUCGUGAGCCACCAUGUGGUAGCUGGGAUUUGAACUCAGGACCUCUGGAAGAGCAGCCAGUGCUCUUAACCACUGAGCCAUCUCUCCAGCCUGCUGUUCUGUUUCCUUAUCUCUGUAAAUUGAGACCUCAGCGUUCAGAAUUAGAGGAUCUGGCAUAAAUAUCCACGUCUUCAUACAUCAACUCAUAACAUGCCUUCUGUUUCUCUUACUGUAUAGAUUUAUCUGGAAACGCAAACAGUCUGGUGGUCAAGACUAGUUCUUAAGAACGUAACUUGUCGAGAAGCUGCCUGGAGUCUGGAGGAUAGUUUGCAGAUGCUGGAGGAGUUUUUGUUUUACUGGCUGAUGCUUUUUUUUUUUUUCUUUUCUUUUUUUUUUUUUUUUUUUUGGAGAACUGACAUUCCAUCUCAAAAAAUGCCAGGAACUGCCUGAAGAUUUGGGUUAUACUUUUAAGAUGCCUUUAAGGAGCUGGAGGGUCUGUGCAAUGCUUAAGAGCUGCUCCUGCUAAGGACAGUUCGAUUUCCAGUACCCACAUCGGGGUUCAUAACUGUUUGUCACUCUAGUUCCAGGGGAUCUGGAGAUUCUGUAUGUGCCAAGAUGCACAUAUAUACACGGAGGCAAAUAUGUGCCAAGAUGCACAUAUAUACACGGAGGCAAAUAUGUGCCAAGAUGCACAUAUAUAUACGGAGGCAAAUAUGUGCCAAGAUGCACAUAUAUACACGGAGGAUAUACACGGAGGCAAACGCUCAGACACAUAAAAGCAAUCCUUUUAGAGUUCCUUUAAACAGUACCGCCCUUGUAACCAAAUACUUGGAGAACCACGUUGACAGUAACAGCUACAAUGUUUUGAACAGUUACUAACGAGUGCAUGGCUGGAACUUUAUAUACAUUGUUUCAUGUAUAUUGCCCACAACCACACAUAGGUAUAGAUGCUAUCAUUCACCCCAUGAAAAAUCUGUCUAGGAGGCUGAGAAAGAGGCUGUCAAUAAAGUGUUUGUUUCAUAAGCAGGUCUUGAGCACAGUCUCCAAGACUCGGGUCAAAGGCUAACACGUGUACUUUUGCAAUCCAGUGAUGGGGAAGCAGAGAUGGAAGGGUCCUUGGGCAGGCUGGCCAGCGAGGCUAGCUGAAUUGGUUCACUGUAUUCCAGGAUCAGGGAGAUACUCUGUCUCAAAAACAAAGGUGGUCAGCAAGCGAGGAAACCUGCCAGUGAUCUCUGGCCUUCAUGUGCAGCUGCACAAAAGCACAAAAGUCUUUUUCAUUUCAGUAGAAAACAUGCACUCUAAAAAUGGGUGUCUGGUGCUGGAGAGAUGACUCAGUGGUUAAGAGCACUGACUGCACUUCUUAGAGGUCCUAAGUUCAAUUCUCAGCAACCACAUGGUGGCUCACAACCAUCUAAAAUAAAAUCUGAUGCCUUCUUCUGGUGUGGCUGAAGACAGCUAUAGUGUACUCAUAUAUGUAGCCAUUACCAACACCCACUGUACUGUGCAAUAAAGCUCCAGACUGUUCUAUGUUGCAAAACCUAAACUGUAUCAAGCAAGCAACUCCCCUUUGUCCCUGCUAUCCUGCUUCUGCCACACCGCCAUUUUCCCUUCUGUUCCUAUGACCUUAUCCAUUUUCAUCCUAUAACUUACAAACCUGGAGCAAGUCCAUUCCUCAGCUCAUCAGGGUAUAAUGGGAAAAAAACGCUUGUGUUUCUCUGUCUCUGUCUCUGUGUGUGUGUGUGUGUGUGUGUGUGUGUGUGUGUGUGUGUGUGUGUAUUUGAAGACAGGGUUUCUCCAUGUAGCCAUAGCUAUCCUAGAACUCGCUCUGUAGACCACGCUGGCCUCAAACUCACAGAGAUCCACCUGUUUCUGCCUUGUGAGUGCUGGGUGUAAAUGCAUGUGCUACCACCACCUAGCUCCAUGUUUGUUUUCUAAAGAUUUAUCUUUAUUUAUAUUACAUAUAUAUGUGUGCAUCUGUGUGUGGGUAUGUGCAUGGGACUACUGGUGCUUGUGGAGUCCAGAAGACAGUGUUGGAUCCUUUGAAGCUAGAGUUAUAGGUGUUUGUGAACUGUAUGAUGUGGGUGCUGGGGAACCAGAACUCAGGUUUUCUAGAACAACAGUAGUACAUACGCUUAACCACUAAGCCACCUCUCUAUUCUCAAACAUGUUCAUCUGAUUCAAAUCCCGUGUGCUCUUAAAAGCUUUUGGAUUAAAAAUGUGCUGAGCAUGUCUUGUGGUUAGCUGAAUCAGACUCCAAUACAAAUAACUAGUCUCAUUCAGCUGUGUUAUUUGUGUUGGAAGGGAGUGUGUUAAAUUGCAGAUUCCAAGUUCAGUCCAACAGAGUUAGAGGCAAGAAAGCCUGAAGGCUGGCCAGAAAUCGCCUCACAAUUCCACUGCACACUUAAGUCUAUGACCUUGUGCUUUCGCUGCUCUGAGUAGAAGUUGAAGGCCAAGUUACAAGUAUAUACUUACAACUCGUAAGACCACUGGGGCCUCUUCGAUCUCUUGCAGAGUGUCCCCACAGUGCUUAGUAAUGGACAUUUCUUAGUCUAGUCGUCAUUCACUGGUCAUCAUCCACUGAAUAGAGCAGACUGUGCCAGGCCUUUGGGAACCACUUAAGAGAGGAGGGGAAGACUCCACCCCUGGACUUUAAGAUCUUCCAGUUGUGAGAGCAGUAAGGAAGAAGAGCGGCAGCUGCCUCAGGACAGAGGAGAUCUGUGACUGUAUUGGCUUUUCCCGGUCAGCAUCUUCCUUACCACAUGCUAACCUCCAUAGAUAUGAGGCUGUGCGCUCAGCACACACUACACACAUUCCACAGUGCACACCUCCAUAGAUAUGAGGCUGUGUGCUCAGCACACACUACAUACACUCUAUGACAGUUGCCCCAGGGCUCAAGCCCUAUAAGUUUUCAUUCUACAGCGACCAAUUGUGUCGUUUGUCAUUGAAGAUCCCUGGUCAGUGCAUGGGCACUGCUUGUUGUCUAUAGGUCUGGGACUCAGACUCCUGGAAGUGAGGCACAACAUAUUGGGGCUCCUGUCAUCUGUAUGGGGGAAGAGGGAGACACUGACGCAGGCUUUAGAUUUUGGGACACUAAACUCAUUCCUGGUGAUGAUAGGCACAUAGGGUUGACCACAUAGCUUAAUUGUGAAGCACUAACCCCGCAUACCAGAGACCCUGGGUUUGAUCACCAGCACCACAAAACCAUGAUUCAGAAUGGCCCUGAAGUAACAUGCUCCUAGAGCCUUUUCAGAAGAAUGUUUUUUAGGGAAAGUAGUGAUGGGAGCCAUGGGUGACAUGGGAAGAAUGGCCACAGCUAUAGGAAAGUCACGGUUUCUGGCAUUUAGAACCUGAAGUUGUUUGUUUUUCCUUCUCUAGAGCACCAAAAGGCCAGUUUUCCAGAAGCUGACACUACUACAAAUUCUUCUUCAUCUCAUUACCAGGGUGGAACUCAGGUCUCCCACAUUCAAGGCGAGUCCUCUGAUAGGGAGCUGCACACCCAGCUCAAGUGGAUACUAUCCCUUGUUUGAGGGUAUUCACCGGAACCUGCAGAUGGGGGUGGUGCCGUGUGCAGAGAGCUCUGCCUCAGUACCUGCUUCUUAAGGUCACACAGACUCCAACAUGACACUGGCCCUUUUGCUCAGACAAUUGUUUCCAGUGAAUUUCUAGUACUUUUGUUUAAAAAUAUUUUUACAUUUGGGGGGUUUACGUGGCACACGCAUGGCAGUCAGAGGACGCCUUGGAACCAGUGUUCUCUUUGACCCCUGUGGGUCCCAAGGCUCAUACUCAGGCCAUCAGGCUCAGAAGGAAUGUGUUUACUCACUGGGUAUCUUGCUGCCUAUGUUGUUGUCAGUGUUGGUCACUGAGUGUCAGGUUUCCAGGUCAGAUUUUGGCUUUGAGUAGGCCUGAGGUCAACCUUGGGAGUCUCCCUAAACUGCUUUCCACCUGAGUUUUUGAGACGGCCUGGAGUGUGGUGAAUCAGCCUGGUGAUCCGUACCGCCUCAGCCCUAGCAAUAAAGUUGUGCCACAUACCCACCUUUUGGUAACUGCCUACCCAACACUCCCUCCCCUUUCUUUCCCAUCUUUCAGCCAUUUCACUGGCAGAAUUCUUGGACAAUUUGGUUGUGGUGUUCACUUUAGCAUAGGAGUUUGGGUGCUGUGGCUCUUUUGCUGCUAAGUAGGGAAUCUCAUUAAGAGGGGGUCCCCCGCCGCGGUCUGACUACUACAUUUGAAGUAGGUGCAUUUGUGUGCUUAAGUCUUUGACUGCCCUGGGACUCACUGAGCCAAGCAUCACUUCCCUAGUAGGGACUCUACAACGUGGCCCCCACCUCAGCACCUCUGUUCUCAUUCCGAGGUGAUUUCCUGUACCUGACAAACUCCUGAUGCUUCAAAGUGUCUAAAGAUGACGUCCCAGUGGAGUUAUUUAUUCAACUUCCUUGGUCAUCACCUGUCCUUCCCUGUAGAACUGCUGCAGUGGGUCUUGUCUGUCCUCCUUGUCUGUCAUCACUGGCUUCUGGCUGUCCUUUUCACUAGAUUGGGAGCCUCUUGAGGGUUAGGUCACUUACCUAGUACCUGGGACUUCUCAAACCAUGCACCUAGACGAUGCCCCCUGCAGACAAUGACAAGAGACACUGAAGAAUGCCUGAAGGUUAUGAGUCCAUGGUAGAAUAUUGGCCUAGCUUGUAAAGGCUAGAACAUUGAGGGAUAGAAAGGAAAGAGGGGAGGGAGGGGAAGAGGGCAGAUUCGGGGAGCAACAGGGGUUUAAUGGAAUAAGGAGAAACUACAGUUUUCCUGGUUAUGACUGGGCCUUCAUUUUUUUUCUUUCUUUUUGGACCUCAAAUGUGAUUUUCUGAGUAAGUUUUGCUACUGUACAUGAUUGGUGGGUCCAUAAGUCACUCUGACAUAUGCAGUAAGGAUCCAUACCAAUUGGUCCUAGGGACCUGGAAUCUUGUCAUCCACCCUAUCAAACUGUGUGAGACCCUGGCUCACAACUCUUUAGAUUCUUUACCAUUUAAUGUGGUUGAAGCCUACAACAUGCUUGUAUAUGUGGGUGUAGUUAGGUGGGAACACAGUGAUGUGUCCCUGACCCCAUGAAGUAUUCAGCUAGUGCAGGAAAAUGCAUUAAACAAUCAUCUCUAGUAAUGAUAAAAUACAAUGCAAGGCAGGUACGACGUUGGAAGAGCAUUCAGCAGGGGGCUCAGUAAAAGCCAGGUGAGGGCAGGAAAAGAGUGACCAGGCAGUUAGUUCCCAGUGGAACUCAGAGCUGGGUGAUAAUUAGACAUUUAAUCUGCAAGAAUCUUUUCGUACCCUUGAUCCUUUCCAGGUUUGGUAACAUUUACUGGUGAGUUGACCAAUACCCAAGUCUCCAGCAAGAUACAAUGGCUGACCUCAAAACUGUAAUGUGAGCUGAGUUCAUGGUAACUAGUGAGAGUGACUUAAUCAUUCAAGGGAAAUCAAGUAAGACAUAUUUGUGGUAUGAGAAGGCAUGUUGUAGAGAGAGAAGACAGGGUCAAAAGGGGGCAGUUCAAGCAGGUGAGAGAUUGGAGGAACAGGUAGUCUUAGUUUUGUCUUUUUAAUUUGUUUCUGUUUUGUCAAGACAGGGUUUCUUUGUGUAGCCCUGGCUGUCCUAGAACUCACUAUGUAGGUCAGACUGGCCUUAAAGUCAGAGAGAUCUGUCUGCCUCUGCCUCCUGAGCGCUGGGAUUGAAGGUGUGUACCACCACACCAAGUUGAUUGUAUUUUUAAACCUUUACAAAAUAGUUUCUGUAUUUGAGACAAGGUCUUUCUAUAUAGAUCAGGUUAGCCUGGAGUUUACUAUAUAGCCCAGGCUGGCCUCAGACUUGGGACAAACUUCUGCUUCAACCUCCUCGUCCCUAUUUUCAAAGAUAAGUUAUCAUUGAUAGUGUGAUGAAGGCAUCAGUGUAUGCACACACGCAUAAAAAACCUUUGUGGAGGUUAGAGACAACUCCUGUAGUUGCUUCUUUCCACCACAGGUCCUGGGGGGUCGCUGGGGUCACCAGCUUCCACGGCAAGUGUGUCUCUCCAUUGAGGCCUCAUUUCAGCUUUAGAGAUCAAAACGAAACCUAAGCUUCUGGGUCAGUUCACCAUCUUAAGAAACAUGUGACAAGGAGAAAAGAAUAGGCCUAGAAUCUAAGCCUUUCCUCCAACUCUCAACUCCUGCUCCUAGUUGGUGAACCCAAUGUGUGACUAAGGAGGAUAGCACCUGCCUGAGGCCAUCAGAAAAAGUUGAACAUUUAAUGUACAUUUAUUUUACACACUAUAUAUUUACAUUUUAAUUUUAAAGACUAGUUUAUCUGUACUGUUAUUUCAGAGAUAUUAUUAAGAGAAAGCUGAAAAUAAUAAAAAUAAAUGCCAAGUGCUAUGUCAAAACGCAAAUUUGGGAAAAUGUGAACUGUGCCAUGUUGGGAUUGAGUUUUUCACUCAUAAUCCUUAAGUACUGUAGCAGAAAACCAAAAUGUAACAAUACUGUAGCAGAAACACCAAAAUGUAACAAUACUGUAGCAGAAACACCAAAAUGUAACAAUACUGUAGCAGAAACACCAAAAUGUAACAAUACUGUAGCAGAAACACCAAAAUGUAGCAAUGCAAUACCCGAGUGACAUCUUAAGUUGUUAAAAGAACCACAAUAGUUUGCUAAAAGGAAUAUAAGAAGGGGACAUUUGAUACUCAAGUACCCCUUUGUUUUGUGACAUAUGUUUUAAAAAUCAUCAUGCAGCCAGGUGUGGUGUGUGACUUAAAUUCUAGUAUUGGAGAGGCAGAGGCAUUCAGAUUUCUGUGAGUUUGAGGUUAGCAUGGUCUACAGAGAAGACAGAGUUCCAGGACAGCCUUGGUUACACAGGGAAACCCAGUUUCAAAACACCAUUAAAAAAAAAAAAAGUAAAAUGGUAUUUACUGGAGGCAUAGGAAGUAAAAGAGCAUGACCUGUUUUUUGUUUUAACAUUUCAAUUUAUGGUGAUAAUUUGAUAGAUAUUUAAUAGUAUUUUAAAUUUUAAUCCAGCAAUCAUUUACUUCCAUCGUCAGGUAAUUUUCAGAUACUAAUAUACCUCAAGGGACCCACAUGGACCACAAAGCACAUUCCACCUGGCCUUUGACAAGCAAGCCAUUACAUGAUCAUAAGCAUGUAACAGAUCUGAAGAGAGUGACCUGUACACCUGACUGGAAAUGGGGGGGAACCUGGGUGAUGGCAACCUGUUAGGUCUUCAGCUCCUGCCUCAAAGCCAAGCUCAGAGAGGCUGUGAGAGUUCAGUUUCCACAAUUUUUCUAAGUUAAAGUUUAGAGGAAGCCCUUCUAGCCUUCCACUCCUUCCUUAUACCUUCCUAAGCUCCAGGGCUUUUAGAACCCAUAGCACAGAGCCAUUGGUGUGGAACAGAACACAAGCUUUUGUGUGGUUGCUAUUCAGCUCUAGUCAGGCCUGGCCUGAGAGGUUACUGGGAACCAUGUGUGCUAGAGUUCCACUGGGGCAGUAGUUCUCAAUCUGUGGGUUGAGACCCCUUUGGUGGUUCACAUAGCAGGUAACCUGCAUAUCAGAUAUUUACAUUAUGAUUCAUGAUAGCAGCAAAAUUACAGUUAUGAAGUAGCUACAAAAUAAUUGUAUGGUUGGGGGUCCCCACAACAUGAGGAACUGUGUUAAAGGGUCACAGCAUCAGGACAGGUAAGAGACACUGUCCUAGGGGUUGUCCUCCACAAGUGCAGGUAUCUUUCCAGACUCCAUUCCUCAUCUCUAAGACGAUCAAACCUGCCCACAAGGUUUGAAAGAUUAAAGAAAGCAUGUAAUGGCCCUAUAGGCUCUCUGUCAAUGAGAACUGUUACUCUUAUCACCCCUGCCCCCACAAUUCACCUCUGCAGUGACAUGUCUACCACCACCAAAAUACAAGUAUCGUUACUCCAAUUGUUACUGUACCACGAGGGUCACGGUCACCAAGAUUAUGGCCAUCCCAUAGCUAGUCAUGCUGCUACUGAUAUUGUUAGCCAAAUACAUCUUUACAAAAACAUUUUACAAUUUAUUUGGGGGUGCGGGGCAUGAGACUACCACAGUGCACACGGGGAGGUAGGUUACAAUUUUCAGAGAUCAGUUCUCUCCAUCUUCUGUGUGUAUCGUAGGGAACUGAACUCAGCUUGUCAAGCUUGGAGGCAAGGACCUUUACCCCCUGAGCUGUCUGUCUCCCUGGCAUGGCCAACGAGAGAAUGGCAAUGGAGAACACAAAUCUAACUGGGUUAGAUUUCAGAGUGGCUUUAACCUUUUGAGAGGCAUUAGCAUUGAUAAUAGCAGUAAAGGUAGAUACAUACUGAACUCCCUGUCUCCCCUAAACCUCCACAGGUUGUAAACACAAUUGUCUUUUUAAGAAACUAGAUUUAAGGCCUCAGUGGUUAAGAGUACUGGCUGCUUUUCCAGAGGUCAUGGGUUCAACUCACAGCACCCACAGGGCAGCUCACAACUGUCUAUAACUGUCCCUUCUUCUGGUGUGCAGACAUAAUGCAGACAAAAUAACCAUACACAUAAAACAAAUAAAUAAGAAUUUAAAAAAAGAAAAGAAACUAGAUUCGGGAGUGCUAUCUGACAAAGACAAAUAGGUUUUCAAUAAUUUAGAAAGGUAGAGAAAAUGCUCACUAAAUGUCCAGAAUCAGAACAAAUGGUCAGAAGUGUCUACAAAAACUGGGUGAAUUUGCAGAAUGUGAAAAGGGAGAAGUCAGAGGAUAAGGAAGGGAUAGUGCUCACAAUUAAUUUUGUAAAGAGGAAGCAUAAAAUUACUUAGCUCUCACUCUAUCCAACAAAUGAAAGACACGUACGUGUCAUUCUCAGUAAGAUUAACUCACAGCUUUGGAGGACACCAGGCUGGAAAUGUUGACUCAAAUGAACAGGAGAGCUGAGGUGAACCUCUGAGAUCCUCUUGAUCUGUGACCAGUCUGUGCAGAUAGAGGUCUCAGUGGACCAGAGCCAUCUUUACAAAGUGUAAGGGAGACUCAAUUUCUGUUUAAAAAGCUGUCCUCUGAGCCUCUGAUAGGCAGGUAACGAGAGUUACCUCAAAAAUACUCAGGAGAAUGACCCAACAGGAGAGAGGCCUUUGUUCCAAAUACUUUGGAUCAGGAAAAUCAGGCAACACAAAAAGCUAUUUACUAAGGGUUUCUCUGAGUUUCUAAAUUUGCUGGGGAAUUCAAUCUUGUGGUUAUAGUUCCUUAGUUGUUGUUUUUUUUCCUCAAAGUAGCUUUACUAAAUGAUUUGCACACCACAAAAUUCACCCAUUGUCAGUGCAUAAUUUGCUAGUGUUUCAGCAACUACAUAGUGGCUAUUCCAUUUCUGCCUGAUUCUCCUUCCCCCUUCUGUGUUUUUCUGGUGCAGGGAUAGAGUACAGGGUCUCUCACACUAUGUCCUCAGCAUAUGUGAUUAAAUGCAUUAAUAUUUUUAUUUAGUUUAGUACUUCAUUUGAGCUGGAGAGAUAACUCAUUUGACAGAAAGCCUAUCUAGUAAACAGGAAACCUGGGUUCAGUCCUUAGUACCACAUAAAACUAGGGCUGCUGGUAAACUCCUGAAAUCCCAGCCUGGAGCUGGAGGCGAGGACCAGAAAUCAUCCUGGGUACUGACUGAGUAGCCAUCUAAUCAACCAAACAGUAUUCCCUGUCAAACAUAAGCUGCAGUUGCUGAUGGAAAGCCCAACAGUAAAUGCCAUUUUACCCCAAUGUCUAGUCAAUCAAGAGGCCUUCUGGGGCAGGGUGGAUGGACAAGGUCAGGACAGAACUAGGAAUGAAGGGGUUGAAGCACGUGGGAUGCGAUGGCAGGGAAGUGGGGGGUGAACACCCAGAGGCUGUUCCUUCUUUCCUUGUUAUUUUUUGUUCAAGAUCAGAUGUGUGCCUGUGUAUACAUCUGAUCUACCCCUAUUCAGAUUUGAUUAGAAUGGAAAUGCUUUUAAAAAAAGAUCUUAUCUGGCGGCUGAGGAGAUGGCUCAGUGGGUGAAGUCUUUCUGCACUCCCAUAAAGAACUGAAUUCCAUGCAUGUAAAAAGCUGGGUGCCAUAGGCAGUGGUACAUGUCUGCACCACAAGUGCUGGGAAAAUGGAGCUGGGAGGACCCAGAGUUCUGCUGGUCAGCUAGUCUAGCUCGUCUAGCUCCAGUGAAAGAACAUGUCUCAAAAGUAAGGUAGACGGGGAGAGAGGCAGACGUCCCAUACUGAUCCCUCACUUUACCUGCGUACACGACAGCAUGCACACCAGCACAAGGCCCAAACACAGACGCACGUCACACUCACAAACACAAAGUUAAAAAAGAAUCCUAUACAGUCUGUUAUUUGUGUAUUUACUGUUAUCCAGAAGAAACCGUACUUGUACUAUUUUAUUUAAGAAUGGCAGUCACGGUUUUGUAACGACCCUGCAUGUGAGUGAUUUCCAAACCCUUUCUGGGGUUUUAGGUCUGACAACGAGACUUCUGGGAUUUACCCAGCAACAAGAAUAAUAUUUUUUUUUAAUUUUUUUUAGAUGUAGGAGAAAUGUAAAGCUAUUUCGUUAUACUACCUUUAAGAGUAGGUUUUGAAGCAUCACAGUAAAGAUGAAGCCAAUAAUUUAAAAAGUUACCAAACCUAUGACUUAUUUUUUUAAAUAAUGAAAAUAUAAACAAAAACAAACCAAACAAAAAAUUCUCUUCUCCCUUAAUACUAGACUCACUAUUUGCCUCUAAAAACAACACAGUUAUGAGCGGUAGGGAAAGCUCACAAACCAUGCUUUAAAUGCGUUUCUCUCUCAUUCCUUUUUUUAAAUUGCAAUUUGGUGUGUAUCACAAAUCUGUCACAAAGUCUUCAUUGGAGCCCUCGGAUUUCCUAACGGCUGGGCUUUUCUCCGAGCUGAUAUAGCAUACAGCAAUGAAAACUCUGAACGAACAGGGACACAAAGAGGAAAAGGCAAUUACCCGGAAUCUCAGAAGUAGAUCUCUGCCCAAUCUUUCAUUUUCACCCGGAUUCACCGGGUGCUACUGGGUUGCUGCUGUUCAGAAAUAGAUGGGAAAGGCUGUGUGGGUGGUGGGAUGGGUGGCUGGGCGUGAACGGGGACACACCGUCAUCGCUUAGUGGCUCAACUCCGUUGACAAAGACAACAACCAAAUCUUUAGAUGGUUUGUUUGAUCUCUGUGAAAGAGUGGCAGUGGGCUUUCUGGCGCUUGAGCGAGUGGGAAAAAUAUUUUUGGCUGCGGAGAUUUUUCUCCAGAGUUUUCUCGGGGAGCCUUCGAGAGAGCCAUCUGGAUCCAGCAGUGUUUCUUUUUGUAAAGCUCCUCCGCACUUGGAAGCAUAGGGGAAAGGUGCGGAGCUGGGAGCACACCUAAGAGAACCCGCUUGCCUCCUGUAUUUGGAAGGGGCGACUUAGUACAGCUGGCAGUACGAGAGGAAAAGGAAAAGGAACCAACUCCUUUACGCGUUAAUAAGAGAUCGCUUGUAAUUGAUGUUCCCCGCAUAGGAAGUGUUUAUUAAUGUCAGCUCAUUAGUCCACACUAUGCCCCUUCAUGAGUGAAACAGGAAUGUUCCAGUUACGUGAUACUUAUCACGGUAACGUCACUACUGACCUUGUCUUGACCUUUAUCACUGUUAAUGGGACCUAGAUCUUGAACGAACACCCCCCCCCCCCAGAGUUCAGUCAGCUUGCGAAGCUGUAAUGAAUGAAAACUGCUAAAAAUGUUCAAACAAAAUCCUUCCAAAUCCACAUGAAGCACUCAGGGCAAUGAUGGGAUUAAAAAGAGAUUGCCUGGAAAACGAAGUCAAACUCAGGUUUGUAGCCAGAUACAGCAGAAACCUCAUCAUAAAUGAUAUGUACAUAUCUGCUAUCCCGUCAUACCCUUCACACUGGAACGAAGUGGUAACUCUUAGGUUAAGAUUUCCUGUGACUGUGCUUCCUUGAGCAGCACAUAUGCUGACAUUGGAAAGAUACCGAGAUUAGCUUUGCCCUUCUGCAAAGAUGGCAUGCAAGUUCACGAAGAAUUCCAUGUUUAGACAUGUUGGGAGAAAAAAGAUUUUCUUCCAUUAGUGAUCAUUUCUAGAAAGCAACAAGCUAUUACUCGAGCUGUUACCGUCUAACAAGCGAUGAAGGGGGGGGAGGAACCUUAGCAGUAACAUCAUAAUUCAGACGUGAAAAGUACACAGGGUCAAAUAUGCUUUUAUAUAAUAUAUUAAUACAUAUUUUACAGGUACUAAGUUCUGUGUAAUUACAGUUUCUGUUGAUCCCAACAGUAACUAAUGACUUGAGAAGUUCCCACUGUAAUUAUCUGGUUUUUACAUUAUGUAAAAUUCUUAGUGGAUUAACAAAAAAAAAAAAAAAGGAAAGGAAAGGAAAACAAGAAAGCUAUAUUCCUUCACUAAGCAAACACUAAAUCCAGUUCUGAAAUGGAGAAUUUCUAGAUAUUAUAAACUCUUCAUGAUGAACAGAAAAAGAUAUAUAAAUGAUAAAUGGGUUCAUUUAAAAAAUAAUUUAUACUUUUAAAGCAGAUCAUGUGAAAAUGAUUUAUCCCAGCUAACGUAUUUUACCAAGUGCAGUGGAAGAAUUAGUGAUUUGCAGACUGUAUCUCAGAAUACAGUUUUGCUAGGAGGAGGAGAGGAUCUGUCUGGUUAGUAAUGUUGGUUAAAAUUAUAAAUAUGUUGCUUCCUGGGAAUUAAAACAGGAAUAGGACUUAUGCUGAAUAACCUUUUGGUAACAGACUUUAAUAAGAGAAACCAAGCUAAAUUUCCAAACCUCAGCCUGCUGCUUUCAUUCUUAUUAAAAGGGGAUGGUGUGCCAGGUAAAACUGGUUAUCUCUGGUACUUUUGAGUACCACUACCUGUCAAAUGGCCAUUGACUAGGUGAGUUAUAUCAUUGUUCUUCUAGGGCAAAUUGUUUUUCACAUGUACUCAUCCUAAGUGCAUCAGACUUAAUUUCCAUGGAACUGCUAAGAGAAAAGACCACUGAAUGAUCAAAGUCUGAGCCCCCACAACUCACCUGCUCCUGAUAUAAGCCUUCCUGCAGCUGUCAUUUAGAGAGACGGGAAGAAAAGGAUAAGACAUCCUCCACCAACACACGUUUUUCAUUUUAAGUUUCCUUGAACUCAUGGGGACAGAGUGAUGAGCAGUGGUGACUGUCAGCUGACUGCCUCUACCUACCCCAUACAAACCUGUGAGGGACCCACUGUCUCCGGUGCCAGCCGGUACCCACAGGUGCCAGCAGAGACCACCACCACUGCCAAAAACAACAAGAAAACACCCCAAAACAAAAAAACAAACAAAAAAAGAAAAAGAAAAAAGGAGUAAGAAGAAAAGAAGGAGAGAGAAAACCGGCCCCCACAAAACCCAGAUUCCACAUGGAUUUCAAACAAGGUUGGAAUGGAUCAGAAUCUUCCAAGGCUUCCCAAAGUUCCUACAACCGAUCGAUAUGCCGUGCCACAGGCUGCUUGGUGCAGUGGACCAGAGGCUAAUAAAACUGUCCUUAUCCAUAAGCCGCAGUAUUAUGUGACCAUGUCUGGGCCAGGAACCAAGGCGUGCUAUGAUUUCAGAGCCUGGAUUCCGGUUACCUGGGGAGGAGACACGCUCCGGUGACGUAGGAAAGCAGAUAAAUCAACCAUCCCCAAGACCUGCGGCCUCCGAAAUUAAGGGAGAAAAUCUGCGUGCGGUUGGUUCAAUUGGCACCCAUUAAAGCUAAUAACUAAUCAUCCUCGCGAGUUUCUAGCUCAGAACGAUGAGAUCUGCGAAGAAAACAACAUCCGUCCACUUUUACACUCCAGUGGAAGGGGUGGUCCCUCGCGGCGGGGCGGCACAGUCUCGCCAUCUGGAGAAUAAAUCGAGUGUGAAGUAUAGUUUGGGACCAAGGUCCGUGGCGGCCGCUCAGCAGUCAGUUCAUUAGCCCCAAACUUCCAGGGAUUAGAGGGGCAUCAAUUCUACUGUCGGAUAGGAUGAGACAGACAGGGCACAGGAUUCAAGAAGCAUAGAGACAACCAGGAGCCCCCCUCUGGCUUAUUUAUAGAACCACAAAGUAUAAACACACUCAAAUAAGUGCCUUAAGUAACAGCAUCAUCACAGUUCCCCAACAUCUGAAUUAACACCGCCUCCCCAACACCUGUACCCCCACCUCUCCCCUUCCCAAACAGUGAUCGUUAAAGUACACACUUUACUGGGACGGGGGAAAGCACACCUCCAUCAGAGGCUGAGAUCUGGUAAUUAAGAAACAGGAAAGACCUCCUAGACUCAGGGGAGAUGGGCAGCCUUUGUAAUUAAAAACAUAUAUAAAAUCAAUAUUUUCAUUCCAUAAAGACAAAUACCAUGCUUCACGUUCCAAACCACGACUGAACUCUUCCUUUCUAGACCGGCCCAUCCUAACCCAUCUCGUUGUUCAAGUGAUGUCACAGGUAAGGUCUUUUCCAGAUUUUACACAUUAAGGUCCUGAUAUCAGCAUCUUUAAGCUAUAAUCGUCCAAGUUAGGUUAAGUCAAAACAAGACAAAACAAAACAAACAAAAACAAAAACAAAAAAACGCCUUGGAGUGAACUGCUCCAUUUAAAGACCUCGUUUCUCAUCUGCCUUUUAGAUAUUUAAAGACACAAAAGAGGUCAUCACAAGGAGAGCACAUUGCACUUUGUCGUCAGUGCACAGCAUUUACCAUUACGGGGCCACUAAAAGGGAAGUAGUAACUGAGUUGCAAAACAUGUUCCCUGAUUCUUGCAAACUGGCAGUGUGUUUCAUUAGGCAAGAGACGGUGCUGACUUUUAAAAGGUCAUUAACUACAAAAUAAUGAGUUUUGUUCUGACCUUUCCAAAUACACACAGGGUGUACUUUGAUCAUAUGAAUCUCUAGUUCACUGUUUUUUGUUGUUGUGGGUAAAGAAGUCUUGGUUUGUUUCCUGAAAGAAAAAGGAAGGAUAGAAGGAAGAGGGACCUGCUUCAACGACACUGUCAGUUAAUUAACUGGUUUAAAGUCUCAGGCCUUGAUUCAUCCUGCAAGAUUCUCCAUGUCAUUCCUAUUUACUCUGAAACCACAGAUUUAGAUACAGGAGAGUUUUCUUUUCUUUUCUUUCUUUUAAUGUGUUUAUCAUGAAUGAUAUAUUAAAACAAGGGCUUAUAGUAAAAAAUUACAAACCAUCUUUCAUUUCGUUCCAAGGAGUGAGGAGGCUCAGGAAGCUUAUAGUACAUGCUUGGAAUUUCUCGUGACAGAUAUUGACAGGCAGCAAACACAACAUAUAAAAGACAACAAUGACAUCCAAACUCUAUGACAGCGAUCUUCUUUACAGGCUCUGAGCAAUUACAAACAUUUCUAAGACACCCACCAAGAGGCUCUGAGGGGAAAGGUCCUUGGGGGCCAAGCUUGAGGACCUGUGUCUGAUCCCAAACCUCACAGUAGAAAAGAGAACUGUCAAGUUGUCCUUUGACCUCCACACAAGCCAGCACGCACUCCAUCACAAAUAAGUGUAAAAGAAGUUUUAAAUAUUUCUGAAGGGAAAAUAGCUCUGAGACACAUGAGUGCUACGUUUGUCUCCUAUCAAGGAGUGAAGGCUUGGCAUCUGUGCAUUUCUCUGAACUAUAAAUAAAUAAAUAAAUAAAUAAAUAAAUAAAUAAAUACCUAAUAUCCAUCUCAAUAACAAGCACACAGUAGGACCGAGGGAAGAGUGGGGCUAUCUGUAACUUACAUUGAAUUUUAGAGAAUGAGUGGAUGGUGAACAAGAGGACAGAUGAGGGAAGGCAGAAUCAACAUGUCAGUGGGAAAAAACAGCAGGAAAUAAUGGCGUUCAUUUUACAAUCUUCCAAAUUUCCUGAUGUUCAGAAUUCUGCUUAUAAGAUUGAGAGGGAAAAAAAUCCUGAAAAGAUUUCUCAUAUGUUCAUAUUUUGGAGAGCUGGUCAAUGACUAUGUAUUUAAAUAAAACAAUUCUCUUUGACAUAUAUAUAUGUAGAUAUAUAUAUAUAGAUAUAUAUAUGUAGAUAUAUAUGGUAUAUAUAAUGGGUGUUUUCACAAUAAAAGAAGUUUAAAAAUAACAACUUUCACUUUGUUGUUUGUAGACAACUAUUUGAGUUUUGGGUGGGUGUGUUUGUCUUGGCGGUGGUGGCGUUUUGUUUUUUUUGUUUUUGUUUUUGUUUUUUCACGUGUAGCACAUGCAAGUCUGGUCCUCUCAGAGGGCAGAAGGCAGCAUUGGAGUAUGGGUGGUCAUGGGCCAGAUGUGGGUGCUGGGAACCAAAUUCAGGUCCUUUGCAAAAGCAACAAUUGUUCUUCACCACUGAGCCAUGGUUCCAGCUCCUUCGUAAUGGUUUAAUGAGAUGAAACUUACACAACAUAUAAUCCGCCCAUGUGUACUUCUGCGCAUUUGCUUUGUUUUGAAACUCAGAGACAUAGCAUAGAACCUUCCAUAAAUUGUUUUCGCCGUUCGUGGUUAGGUGUCAGGGUUCAUGCACGUCCUGCUAUCUAUCAGCCCCUUCUCCUCUACUGUCAGACAAUAUCCUAUCCUAUGGAUACAGUACAUUAUACUUCAUCAGCUAAUGGACACCUAGGCUGCUUUCUACUUUGGGGCUGUUGUGGAACAUGCUCUAGCAUUUAUGAACCCACCUUUGUAUACGAUUCCCAUACAUUUACACCUCUCUUGACUUUGUCCUGAAAAGAAAGUGGGACGCCUAGGUCCCAUAGUCCCUUGUAUGCUCUCAAUGUGGCUACGCCAAUUUAAUAUUCCCAUCAGUAUGUGAUGAGUAAUAAGAGACUCCUAGGACUGGGAGUGAGGUAACAAUUUGGUCAGUAACACAGAACCUACUGCCCAUAGGCAGGAGGGGCAAGGGAGGCCUUGACUGGGGCAAGCGCCUCUGAAAACUAAGGAUUUUUGUAGCAGCAGACAGCCCCCAGAGAAGAGCCCAAAGGGACAGAUGGGACAGCUGUGAGAAUGCAGGCGCUGGCCAUGGACAAGCCUGAUGAUCUAAGUUCCAUCCCUGGAAUCCACGGUGGAAGGAGAAAACUGUCUCCUGAAAGGUGUUCCACGUGGGGUAAUGUGUGUUGUGCAUGAGUGCAUGCUCUCUCUCCCUCCCUUUCUUCCUCCCUCUCCCCCUCCUUCUCCCCCUCCUCCUACUCUCUCUCUCUCUCUCUCUCUCUCUCUCUCUCUCUCUCUCUCUCUCUCUCUCUCUCUCACACACACACACACACACACACACACACACACACACACAAAAUGUGGAUGGCUAGUAUAUAUGAAGCCAGAGGUGGGAGCCCUGUUUAAUGCCUUUGGGACUGACAGAAAAACAAGAGUCUCUGAGAGCAGUGUCUUAGCAGUGAGGGAAUUAAGGCAGCGCUCCACUGGAGAGAGGCUGAAGAGGUGACAGUACAUGAAUUCACAGGUACACCCUAAAGUCCCUCUGGACCACGUGCCCUGUGCCCACGAUUGCAUUUGGAGCUGACCUUGGUCCUUGUUCAGUCCCAUCCACAAUGAGGCAUCUUCUUUUGGGAGGGCCUCUAGGCUCAGAGGGGACUCACUCCCUUUUUCUUCAGAACCUGAGUUUGUGUGUGUGGGGGGUUCCAUUUUAGGGGACUCCUGGUCCAGCCCACUGACACUGCAGAGUGGGUGGCCAGCCGCCUCGCUGAGCACGCCCUCUAAUUGGUCUCUUUCCACCCUGCCCCCGGAGGACUGAGAAGGUGUCUCUCUUCCCCAACUAGUACAAAGUACAGCUGGAGCCAAGCUGCCCUCUCCCUCUCUCUCCGUAUUUAUAUUUCACGACUUCUCUGGGUUAGAGGAGGUAAUUAACUGUUUUGGUUUAAAAGCCCUCCUGCUGGGUCGCAGUCUGCGUGGGAGAAUCAAAGUAAACAAGCAAAAGGGAGCACUAUCAUCAAAGGACUCCGCACCUACCUUUCUUCAUUACGAGAAGGGAAACGCACCAUUUGCCGCAGGUGCCGCGGAUCACCGUUUGGGGCAGGGUCCUGGUGCUUUCAUUCUUUUGAAUGGUAAAUCAAGAGUGAUCGGUUCAUAAUUUAAUGAGGCAGGCUUACUGAGGGUCCAAACAUGCUGGAGAUAACAGGCGUGUCACCUGUGCCCUGCCUGAACAGUUGUAAAUGAUGCUGGCAACAUAUUCUGUCAGGUAACUUCCUCUAGCUACAUUGUAGAAAAGGGAUCAAAAGUUUCCUCUUCAUCUGAACAUCAAGAACCAGUUGUUGGGGCUGGGCACCUAGCUCAUUUGGUAGAAGUGUUUGCCUAGCAUGCUUGAGGACCUGGAUUUGAUCCUGACCCACAAAAUCUGGGUGUCUUGGGGCUCACUGGUAAUAGCAGCAGUCAGGAGGCAGAAACAAGAAGGUUCAAGAAGUUCAAGGCCAUUCUCAGCUACACAGAAAGUUUCUUGCCAAUUCGAGUUACUUUUUAUUUUAGUUUUUUGAAGUUUUAUUUUGCUUUUUUUAUUUUUGAUUUUUUUUAAAGAUUUAUUUAUUUACAUGAGUACACUGUAGCUGUCUUCAGACACACUAGAAGGGGGCAUUGGGUCCCCCCUCAGAUGGUUGUGAGCCACCAUAUGGUUGCUGGGACUUGAACUCAGGAUCUCUGGAAGAGCAGCCAGUGCUCUUAGCCACUGAGCCAUCUCUCAUCCUGUUGUUGUAUUUUUAUGUGGGGGAAAAGGAUCAAAACUGAGCAGUGGUGGUACAAGACUUUAGUCUCAGCACUUGGGAGGCAGAGGCAGGUGGAUCUCUGAGUUCAAGGUCAGCCUGAUUUACAGAAUGUGUUCCAGCACAGCCAGAGCCAUACCGAGAAACCCUGUCUCAGAAAAACAAACAAACCAAUUUUUGAAAAUAUAUUUAUUGUAUUGUGUGAAUGAGCAUGAUGGGCUGACACAAAUACGACACAUCAUAAAUAUAGGAGUUUUUCUGCCCUCCUUUAGGUAGACUCUGGGGGUUGAACUGAGGUCACUGGUUUAGUCAAGUAUCUUUACCUACUGAGCCAUCUUGCCAGGCCAAGAACAAAUUUUUAUAUUAAACUCUGGCUCACUUCUAUGUAGAAAGACAUGUUUCUCUAUCC